UGGGGAAUCUUGGACAAUGGGGGCAACCCUGAUCCAGCCAUGCCGCGUGAGUGAUGAAGGCCUUAGGGUCGUAAAGCUCUUUCGCCUGUGAAGAUAAUGACGGUAGCAGGUAAAGAAACCCCGGCUAACUCCGUGCCAGCAGCCGCGGUAAUACGGAGGGGGUUAGCGUUGUUCGGAAUUACUGGGCGUAAAGCGCACGUAGGCGGACCAGAAAGUUGGGGGUGAAAUCCCGGGGGCUCAACCCCGGAACUGCCUCCAAAACUAUUGGUCUAGAGUUCGAGAGAGGUGAGUGGAAUUCCAAGUGUAGAGGUGAAAUUCGUAGAUAUUUGGAGGAACACCAGUGGCGAAGGCGGCUCACUGGCUCGAUACUGACGCUGAGGUGCGAAAGUGUGGGGAGCAAAACAGGAUUUAGAUACCCCUGGUAGUCCACACCGUAAAACGAUGAAUGCCAGUCGUCGGGUAGCAUGCUAUUCGGUGACACACCUAACGGAUUAAGCAUUCCGCCUGGGGAGUAC
rnacentral:rRNA from 1 species